AUCCCUUGGGAUUCCGGGUGCUGUAAAGGACGGAUGGGUGAGAGAUGUGUUUAAUUUAAGGGGUGUAUAAACAGAAGGGAGAAGGGCUGUUUGUGAGGGUGGAUAGUGAUAGGACAAGGAGAAUGGUUUUAAACUGAGACGGGGGAGGUUUAGGUUGGAGAUGAGGAGGAAGUUUUUCCCCCAGAGGGUGGUGACGCACUGAACAGGUUGCCCAAGGAGGCUGUGGAUGCCCCAUCCCUGCAGGCAUUCAAGGCCAGGCUGGAUGUGGCUCUGGGCAGCCUGGGCUGCUGGUUGGCGACCCUGCACAUAGCAGGGGGUUGGAACUGGG
ensembl:lncRNA